rnacentral:rRNA from 1 species
UACGGGGGGGCAAGCGUUGUUCGGAAUUACUGGGCGUAAAGGGCUGGUAGGCGGCCAACUAAGUCGGAUGUGAAAUCCCCAGGCUUAACCUGGGAACUGCAUCCGAUACUGGUCGGCUUGAAUCCGGGAGAGGGAUGCAGAAUUCCAGGUGUAGCGGUGAAAUGCGUAGAUAUUGGGAAGAACACCGGUGGCGAAAGCGCUCUGCUGGGCCUGCACUGACACUGAGGGACGAAAGCUAGGGGAGCGAAAGGG